GUUAAGUUGAUUAUUAAGCAAAAACUGGACAGUUUUAAUUUCUUUUGUUUACUGUUGAUUAUUUCAAGUAAUUAUAUGUUAAAUAAUGUGUUUUUUAUGAAAAAUAUUUUCAUUUUAUCGUUGGUUUAGUUGAUGACUUGACUCUCUACAUUUGAAGAGGCAAAAAUUUACAUUGACGUGACCUGAAGACAUUGUCAAGUUGAUUCAAGAUGUCUUCUUAAUAUUUACUCUUUAUGUAACACAAGCAACACCUUUACUUUUGUUGACAUAAAAUAAACGGUUUGUUCGAAAUGUUAACUCUGGAUCAAAUUUAUUAUCAACAAGAAUCUCAUCGUCAACAACAUCAUCGAAAUAUGAUCAACAUUCAUGAUAAUCAAUAGCAACAUGUAAAGCAGAAGAAGAAGAAGCCCGCCACUUUGUUAAGCUGUUCAUUUUGUCACCUUUUGGAUGGUUAGAUAGAGCCUCAAGGCUGUCUGUGCUUUUGUUAAACCUUGAAUUGUUUGGAUGGAAUUGUUUUUUUAUAUAACUUGAUAAGUGUCUUAAUUUAUUUAUUUGUUUGUGACAAUCUCAUUUUUUUACUGAAAGAGUUAACGACAAAAUGUUAAACACGAAACAGACUCUAUGGAUAUUGAGCGCAAAAUAUUGUUUGCUCAGGCAAGUUAACUGUAAAAGAAAAGGCUUUGAACCAUGGAAGGAAAAUGCAUGCUGUUUCAAGUGUUAUAAUACUAACAGUUAACAAUUUGUUGUACAACUUUUCUGCAGAACCAACCGACGGGAAAAUUCAAAACUUGAUGAAAGAUAAAAGCAAAAUGGUUCAACUGAUGAUAAAAAAAGGAAUCUAAUUGGUGAAUAAAAAGUGUUACUAGACUACCAGGUUUCUCGGGUUACGUUGGAUUUAAUCAUAAACAAUGUUGGAGCUGGUAUCAUUUUUUGGGCUUAAGGAAUACAAACGAGCAGACAUUAUUCAGCUAAUGUUACCCUGGCUUAUUGUUAUUAUUGAUUGAUUGUUGGCUGUUAAGAUUUAUAUAUUUGCUGCAAACAUGAAAAUGGGAUAACAUGGCAAAAAUUGUAUAAAAGUGCCUUAAGCGGAAAGAUGAAUCUCAACUGAAAGAAGCUAAAGAAACCAAAUAAAGGAAUGGAUUUUUUUUCUUAACCAAGUAAAAAGGCGAUGAAAAACAAUAAUGAUAAUGAUAUUAUAUACAUGAUAUCAUAUAGACUACCAUAUUGGAUGAAAACCUUCAAAAGAAGUGUAAAUGUAUCAACUAAUAUUUUGUUGACAGAAUCAAAUUAUAUAAUCUGGUUACAAUGUAAAUACAAUAGUAAUUCUUGAAGUACCUAAAAUAUUAUAACCCAAUCAAUAUUACAUUAUCAGUUAAA